rnacentral:rRNA from 1 species
UGGGGAAUUUUGCACAAUGGGCGAAAGCCUGAUGCAGCAACGCCGCGUGUGUGAUGAAGGUCUUCGGAUCGUAAAGCACUUUCGACCGGGAAGAACAAGCUCGACCUAAUACGUCGGGCCCUGACGGUACCGGGAGAAGAAGCACCGGCUAACUCUGUGCCAGCAGCCGCGGUAAUACAGAGGGUGCAAGCGUUGUUCGGAAUUAUUGGGCGUAAAGCGCGUGUAGGCGGCUUGUUAAGUCGGGUGUGAAAUCCCUCAGCUCAACUGAGGAAGUGCGCCCGAAACUGGCGAGCUUGAGUGCCGGAGAGGAUGGCGGAAUACCCCAAGUAGAGGUGAAAUUCGUAGAUAUGGGGUGGAACACCGGUGGCGAAGGCGGCCAUCUGGACGGUAACUGACGCUGAGACGCGAAAGCGUGGGUAGCAAACAG